UACGGAAGGGGCAAGCGUUGUUCGGAAUCAUUGGGCGUAAAGGGCGCGUAGGUGGUUCUGUAUGUCUACCGUGAAAGCGUACGGCUCAACCGUAUUUUGUCGGUAGAAACUGCAGGACUUGAGACUGGGAGGGGCUGGUGGAAUUCCCUGUGUAGCGGUGAAAUGCGUAGAGAUGGGGGAGAACACUCGUGGCGAAGGCGGCCAGCUAGACCAGUUCUGACACUGAGGCGCGACAGCGUGGGGAGCAAACAGG
rnacentral:rRNA from 1 species